ensembl:snoRNA
UGCCUCCUGUUGCUUACCAUGUUUUACACUGAUCAUUUAGAAAAAGUAGGAAGAGUAAAUUUGCCCCAUAUACACCUCAGCUCAGGCUUGUGCCUCGUCUGUAUUGUGAAUGGGGAUACAGGC